rnacentral:rRNA from 1 species
UGAACGCUGGCGGUAUGCUUAACACAUGCAAGUCGAACGGUCACUUCGGUGAUAGUGGCGGACGGGUGAGUAACGCGUGAGAAUCUGUCUUCAGGUCGGGGACAACAGUUAGAAAUGACUGCUAAUACCGGAUGUGCCUUUGGGUGAAAGAUUUAUUGCCUGAAAAAGAGCUCGCGUCAGAUUAGCUAGUAGGUGGUGUAAGAGACUACCUAGGCUCCGAUCUGUAGCUGGUCUGAGAGGACGAUCAGCCACACUGGAACUGAGACACGGUCCAGACUCCUACGGGAGGCAGCAGUGGGGAAUUUUCCGCAAUGGGCGAAAGCCUGACGGAGCAAUACCGCGUGAGGGACGAAGGCUUUUGGGUCGUAAACCUCUUUUCUCAAGGAAGAUGAUGACGGUACUUGAGGAAUAAGCAUCGGCUAACUCUGUG